rnacentral:rRNA from 1 species
UACGUAGGGUGCGAGCGUUGUCCGGAAUUAUUGGGCGUAAAGAGCUCGUAGGCGGUGUGUCACGUCGUUCGUGAAAACCUGCAGCUUAACUGUGGGCGUGCGGUCGAUACGGGCAUCACUGGAGUUCGGCAGGGGAGACUGGAAUUCCUGGUGUAGCGGUGAAAUGCGCAGAUAUCAGGAGGAACACCGGUGGCGAAGGCGGGUUGCUGGGCUGAUACUGACGCUGAUGCGCGAAAGCCAGGGGAGCGAACGGG